rnacentral:lncRNA from 1 species
CUUACGGGUACUUGCAAGCUUAUAUCUGUUUGGCAUGUUUUUUCCGGAUCAAGUUUCCCUGGCCCACACUCUAUGGCAGAGAACUUAAGGCCUUCGAUCUCCUUGUCCCUACAUUGAGGUAGACACCAAAUUCCACAACUUCCUAUGCCAAACUCUGUGCCUAGUAUUCAGAAACGUAUGCACACCAGCAUCCUGAGCCUCCGUGAGAAGACAAGAGUCCAAUCCUGGAUUAGUUGACUUAGAUGCACAUUUUUGUAUUUCACAGAUACAUAAAGCAGCUGGCAUCCAGGUAUAAACAGGAAGUACAAUAUCCAGCUCAUUUCCCUGUUGCUCAACUGUUGGCAAAGUUUUGCUGCAAACAACACUAUUUAAGGAUGGCCUGAAGGAUAUGCCGUCUAGGCUGUUUUCUCCCAGUCCUUUGAAAUCUACCUAAGGCCGGCAGAGAGCACCGCGCACUGCCACAUGAUCUGGCCUAUGG